rnacentral:rRNA from 1 species
UACGUAGGGUGCAAGCGUUGUCCGGAAUUAUUGGGCGUAAAGAGCUCGUAGGCGGUUUGUUGCGUCGGCUGUGAAAUCCCGAGGCUCAACCUCGGGUCUGCAGUCGAUACGAGCAAACUAGAGUGUUGCAGGGGAGACUGGAAUUCCUGGUGUAGCGGUGAAAUGCGCAGAUAUCAGGAGGAACACCGAUGGCGAAGGCAGGUCUCUGGGCAUUAACUGACGCUGAGGAGCGAAAGCAUGGGGGAGCGAACAGG